CUGCUGGUGAAGAGAAAGGGCGAAGUUGGUCCUGUCGAAAGCUCUCUAACUCUAGCAGCGGGCCAGACAUGCGUAUGGCCACCUGGUAUGCAGUCACCUGGCAACGUUUGUAUAACCGCCUGAUUUGUUGCUACCUCCUUAACUGAGAUGACUCCCUGCUCUCAUUGAGUAUAUCAUAAGCCUCCUUCCUCCUAAUUUGUGCUUCAUUUCCAAACUUUAUAACUGGUACAUUAUAUUCCAUUUUUACAAUUAACGCACCCCGACAAAAUUACUGGCACAGUGCAAUGGCUAAUGCUUUGGAUGAUACAUUGGCGAGCAUACAAGACCAUGGAGGGUAUGCAAGUUGGUACCUUUUCUGUGUAAUUUUAAUUGCGGUGAUCAUCUGCCUUAACUGCCUGAAAAGUAAAUGUAGAAGGUGUAGAAAAAAGCGCAAGGGCCCUCCACUUCGUACAGUCAUGACUCAACAAGACGAUUCGAAAAAAGAACGCUCACCUAAUCGCACUUCCGCAAGUGUGACGUGUACCCCAGGUGAAAAGGAUGAGUCCCGCCAGCCUCUUAUACAAGGCUGUCAGGACUCAUUACCACGGCC